GGCUGGUCUGAAGGUAGUGAGUUAUCUCAAUUGAUUGUUCCCAGUCAGUACAGAUUGAACUUGUUCUAUUCUUUCCCCCCUUCUCACUACUGCAUUGACUAGUCUUAA
ensembl:misc_RNA Y_RNA Y RNA